rnacentral:rRNA from 1 species
GAUGAACGCUGGCGGCGUGCCUAAUACAUGCAAGUCGAGCGAACGGACGAGAAGCUUGCUUUUCUGAUGUUAGCGGCGGAAGGGUGAGUAACACGUGGAUAACCUACCUAUAAGACUGGGAUAACUUCGGGAAACCGGAGCUAAUACCGGAUAAUAUUUUGAACCGCAUGGUUCAAAAGUGAAAGACGGUCUUGCUGGCACUUAUAGAUGGAUCCGCGCUGCAUUAGCUAGUUGGUAAGGUAACGGCUUACCAAGGCAACGAUGCAUAGCCGACCUGAGCGGGUGGUCGGCGGCACUGGAACUGAGACACGGUCAGGACUCCUACGGGAGGCAGCAGUAGGCAACCUUCGGCAAUAGUGGAAAAUGUGACAGAGCAAGGCGGCGCGAGUGAUGGAGGUGUUCGGAUCGUAACGCGCUGUUAUUAGGUAUGAACAUAUGUGUAAGUUGCCGUUGAGAGUGUGACGGUAACGGGUCAGAAAGCCACGGCUAACUACGUG